rnacentral:tRNA from 1 species
AAGGGAGACCUAAUUCGGGUAUAAGACGAAAAAAUAGUAGUCGAAACCAAGAAUCAAUCCCAAAAGGUCGGAACGAGGUAUGUGGCUUUCAAACUAGGUUCUGGGUUCACGAAAGACCUGAAUCAGGAACAAGGGCUAUUAGCUCAGGUGGUUAGAGCGCACCCCUGAUAAGGGUGAGGUCCCUGGUUCGAGUCCAGGAUGGCCCACCUGCACAGGUGGCAAAAACAAAGAAGCGAGGAAUCAGCACCUUAUCUUACUUAUAUAGUAAGAGAGAAUGCUGGCUCUGAGUAAAGAGUCCAGAGGAACCUUGAAAACUGCAUAGAGCUAGGUGAAAAAGCCAAAAAAGAAGACCGCAA